AUGGGAGCGCGGUCGACGGCGACCGCGGGGGAGGCGGUGGCGAGGCGGAGCAGCAGAAAGAAGGGAGCCAUGGCGCCGUCGGUGGGCGGCGUGGAGGCGGCAUCCGCGGCGGCGAUGGCGGGCGGCAGGCGCAGCAGGGCCCCGCCGCGGCUGGUGGGCUACGAGGAGCUCCCUGAGUACCUCAAGGACAACGAGUACAUCCGCGGCCACUACCGCGUGGAGUGGCCCAUCCGCGACGCCCUCCUCAGCGCCUUCUCCUGGCACAACGAGACGCUCNNNNNNNNNNNGCAUUUGGGCGGGUUCCUGCUGUUCCUGACGCUCGCCGUCGCCGGCGGCGGCCCGGAGGCCGCCCACGAGGUCGCGCCGGGGAUCAUGAGGUUCGUGGUGGGAUCAGCUAAUUCGUCGUGGAAGAGCGAUCAAUCGGGCCUGCCGAGCCAUGACGCGGCGGCGGCGGUCCUGGGCGGGCACGGGGUGCCGCGGUGGCCGCGGAUGGUGUUCCUCGUGGGCGCCAUGGCGUGCCUGGCCAUCAGCGCGACUGCGCACCUCCUCGCGUGCCACUCGCGCCGCGCCACCGUCGUCUUCUGGCAGCUGGACUACGCCGGCAUCUCCAUCAUGAUCGUCGCCUCCUUCGUCCCGCCCGUGUACUACGCGUUCCUCUGCCACCCGCCCGCGCGCGUCGCCUACCUCUCCGCCAUCACCGUCCUCGGCGCGCUCGUCGUGGCCGUGCUGCUCUCGCCGUCGUGCUCCUCGCCGCGGUACCGCCGCCUCCGCGCCACGCUGUUCCUCGCCAUGGGGAUGUCCGGCGUCAUCCCGGCGGUGCACGCGCUCUGGGUCAACUGGGGCCACGCCGCCUGCUACCUGGCGCUCGGGCUGGAGGUGGCCAUGGGGCUCGCCUACGCGGUCGGCGCCUGGUUCUACGUCAGCCGCGUGCCGGAGAAGUGGCGCCCCGGCGUCUUCGACGUCGUCGGCCACAGCCACCAGAUCUUCCACAUCUUCGUGCUCGUGGGUGCCAUCACGCACUACGUCGCCGUCGCUGUGCUGCUCGACUGGCGGGAGAAGGCGGCCGUCUCGUGCGGCGGCACGGCGUCGUAG
rnacentral:rRNA from 1 species